rnacentral:sRNA from 1 species
AGCUUAUAGUGGGUUAUCAGAACUUACUAACAUCAGUGUCUCCAAAGUUGGUAUACAACCCCCCACUGCUAAAUUUGACUGGCUUAAA